ensembl:lncRNA
AAGGAAUCACUUUAUGCAAGCAGUCUAUUUACUUAUAGUGCAGGAAUUGUUUAUAAAUUACUUUUAAACUGCAAUAACCCACACACUCACAAAUAAACAUUUAAACCAAUAAAUGUUGUAUUAAAUGUCAAUGAAAUUGAAACUUUGUAUUUAAAUGAAAUGAAAUAAAUCAAGAAUUUGAAUUUGACAAUGUAAAUGAAAACAAAAAACAAAUAAAAUAUAUCAAAACAACCCUCUGUGAUUGCCUUACUUUUAACAGUAACUAAACACCUUUUUUACAGUAUCACACCAGUAUUGUCAAUUUUAAGUCACUUGUUCUGAAUGUAUUUAACUAAGUUAUAGCCUACUAUCAAAUUAACUUAUAACUCUGUAUAACUUGUGUAAGCUCUAAUAACCCUUUUAAGCUUUUAACACAUUCAAAAUACACUCAAAAUGGAAAAAGAAAAAAACAGUCACAAUAUCAUUAGUGCACUCAAAUGGUUACACACAUCCCACCCCGUUGCAGGCCUGAUACGGAGCUUGAGUGCGUAGUGGCCGAUAAACUGAAACUGGCCCCUUCACUCCAGAGAGCAAAAAAAUAAAAUAAACUUGUUUAGCGUGUACCUCAAUCUGGUUGCGAGUGUGCGUUGAAACACGUCUGCUUUCAUCACAUUGAAAUGGUCGUGAGUCCGGUGUCGAAAUGUCUCCAUGCAACGUUACAACAGGUGCGGUGGCUGUUUGCGCGUCGAAUUCUCAUGAAGUUACUGGACGAUGCUCACCAACAUUUUCCUCCCGGGAAACAAAAGUCUGCGUUAUAUUUCUUGAAACUCCGCUCGGUUUAAGCAGAUGACAACAACAGUUUCCGUCUAGAAAGUAUGCCAACAUGCACAGCGUUCAACUCUGGCCGAGCCAAACAUGCAACUGCAAACUUACAUGAAACAGUCCACAGUCAUAACGAGCCGCCUCCUUAGUGAAGAAAUACGAGCAGUACUUCUGAUUACAGGAAAGCUUCUCGUUUUAAACACUCAAAGAUAUCGUUAAACUCGCGUCUUUCUCCCUCUCCUUUCUCUCGUCUUCUUGCUGUCUUUUCUCAAACUUUUUUCCUCCCGUCUCCUUUCUCCUCGGAAAAAUCUGAUUGGCUCACAAACUUGUCAGUCUCUUAUCUGUCCAAUGUACAUCAACUUACAACCCAAAAUGAUGUUUGCCACGUUUUUCGCAUGUACUCCCCAACCAAACUCUAAUAAAGGAAAGUAAAAACAAUACAUAUUAAACAAACAUAUUUCAAAUGAAAAAUAAAUAAAAUAAAACAUUUUAUCAUAAUUUCACUCUCAGUAAAUACAGACAAUGAAAAAUAACAUCAGGGUUACA